rnacentral:sRNA from 12 species
UAUGAGUGAUUUGUUUGCCGAGUUACUGUAGGGAAUGCUGAAUGUAUUCCAGCAUGCAUGACAUGUGGGAUCCUAUAGUCGGAGGAACACUCUUUU